CGGGUUGGCGUCGCGGGCGGUGCGGGACCGCCCUCGCGUGUGGCGGUGGGACCCCGCUUGUUUUCCCGGCGGCCCGACUCUG
rnacentral:pre_miRNA from 17 species